CCGAGCGCGAAUGUUUAAUCUGCGGCGGCGUCUUCCUUUAUUGACGUAGAGGAGCCAGCCGACAUCUGCGGACAGCCCAUUAGAGUGGAGACUUUCCCUUCCUGGCCCUGCGAUGAGAUGGGGACUUGUCCAGGGUGUACGCCGCCUUCCGCCCGAUUGUAACUGAAAUAGGCGCCAGCGCCCCCAAAAAAGGGAAUACACGGCCAGGUGUUUCAAGUUGGAACCUCUCGAUGGCAAGCUCGAACCUAGAGCUGGGGCUGCUGUGUCCACCUAACAACUAGCAGAAAACUCCUGGUCUGGUAGGAAGGGCUGACACAGCCUGGCCCCCACACAUUCCACUCACUCGUUCUAACCAUAACCCUUGGACAUUCAAUAGAACCAUGGGUCGUUGAAUCAGUUCUGGGACUGUGUAUAGUUUCUGUUGUCACACAAGUUUCGUUAUUCAAUUUCAAUCCAAACAAAAUAACUUUUGAUGAGCAUUUAUCAUCCAAUCUCUAACUGCAGUUCUAAAUACUUUGAGGUUUUCUAUUUUUACCCUUAUUUUCUGUUGUAAAUAUUUUGUUGUUCACACUUUACAAUACAUGGUACCUGCACCAAACUAAAUGUUCUGCUUCUGUGUAAUUGUUACUGACCACUAGCUCCUACAGCAGAAUUUAGAUCUGCUGUUCCCCAUGAGCCCUUGUUUUCUGUCCUUAUUAGUUUUAUACCUAGUCCCAUUUUUUAUCCUAUUUUAACACUUGCAAUGUCAACACAUCAAACUAAUUUGAAAAAUAAUGAUGGAUGUCUACAAGCUCUCGGCAUGUUAGCAGAUUAAAAUAUAAAUGUCCA